ACCACAAACCGUGAGAUCAUGACCUGAGCCAAAGUCAGAUGCUCAACUGACUGAGCCACCCAGGUGCCCCUGAGCUUGAACUUUUAGAUUCAAACUGGUGGGAGUUUUUUUCCUUUAAUCAGCAUUAUUGAGGCAUAAUUUAUAUGGAAUUUUUAUGUUAAAAAAAGUAACAUCUUCAAUUUUGAUUUUGCUAGCUUAUAAAACAAAUUUUUAUCUCAAAAGGUAUGACUUUUAAGAAGGGGAUUUGUCAGAGGAUGAAUUGUCUUUUAUGCUGCGAAAUAGGCAAACAUGGGCCAUAAUGGAAUUUUAGAAGAACAGUUGUAUAGUUACGAAACGUGUGAGGGUGGAGAUAUUUUUUGUUGAAACACUCCUAGUGAUUAUUCCUUCUUGUAGAAACUUAAAGGCUUAAGUUUAAGGCUUAUUAGGAAAAAUACUUCUACUUCAUUUUAUGGAGAUUUAUAAUAUUAGUAACUCAUUUUUCACUUACAGAGCAUUAUUUUGAAACUUAAAGCUGUGUAGAUAGCUUAUUAUUUGGUGCUUAACUAUUUUCUGGCUGUAUAUGUCAUUACUGUUUACAGCGGUUUGAAAGAAGAUUUUUUAGAAAAGGCCUUCAUUUGUUAAUGGUUUAGAAGGGUCUUUUGAUACCUGCUUGCCACAAAUGCGGAAUUUAAUGAACUGUAGUAAAAGGCUGGUGUAAUUUUGACACAAGGUCACUUUGAUUUAAUGGUGAAGUGCGUGAAUAAAUAAACGAGAUUCCCAGUCCCUACUUAAUCUACAUGAAACUGGAGGCUUUGUAGAAUCAACAAGAGAAGGUUUCUGUUCAAUGAGACUUUGGUUUAGCAAGGGUGGUUUGGCAAGGGUGGAGCAGACAUGUGUGAUACAGAAUGAAUAGGAUACCUUCAUACUUCCCCACUCUCUGGGAGACGUAAUUGAUCAUGGUAGUCAGUUCCAUAGAGGCAACUGGUGACACAUGAGCAUUGUUACUGUGAUUUUCAAAUCUGUUUAUCCAAAGACUCCUGAUUAUCAUGUAUAAUUAGCAAUUUACCCAAACACGUGUCCUAUACUCCUUAAGUGCUAAGAAAUCCUUAGCCAUGUAUCACCAUCUGACAUAUAUUUGUUCAUUUGUUUAUUGAUUGUGUCUCCCCACUAGUGUAUAAGCUUCCUGAGGGCAGCAACUUUGUCGACUAUUGCAAAUUUCUAACUCCUAAGACUAUUUGGCAUAUGAUGAAUAUUGUAGAAUAUAUGGAAUUUCUACUUGCUCAUACUAAGGUUUGCAAGGCUAUGGGAAGAUGGAAUAUAUUGUUCCAUCUAUUGUUCUAAUUGCAUCCAGGACAUGAACAUGUUGUGUUUUCUGGAUGAGGUGCACAGUCCCAGAGAGUCUAACUGCAAUUUAUUAUUCACUAUGACUAGGCAUAAUUUAAAUUGUUUAGAAAAGCCAUGAAAAUCUUUGGGCUUCCUACCUAACUUACUUACUUUUAAGACAUAGGCUGGGCUGUUAUAGUAUAACCUAGGUAUGACUUUUUGCCUGUUAUUUUCCCCCCCCCCCCCCCCCCCCCGCAACCAGUAUUAUGAAUGGAGAAAUAGACUUUUGUUUCACCUAUAAAUCUAUAAAUAUUUAUACCAUCAUGUCACACAUUGUGGAAGACACUGGAAAACAAAAUAUUCCUGAAUUUAUUUUAACAGAGUAAAGGAUGAAUAUUGAUUGCUUAAAACAAAAAAGGGACACUCAGGUUAUAGUUGAGAUGAUACUCUUUUUUCAUGCAUCAAAUAUUUUCGGAUAUAGAGGUGAAAUUUUCUAGUAUCUCCAAUUCCCCAGACAACCUUAGACUGGUUUUCAGAGAAGAAAUUUGAGAAUGCUUUGCAUAGAGGUUUUUGCUCAAGUUAGGAGAUAAUUUUCUCAGGGUGAAACAAAUAGAACCAGAGAUUGAUGUUAGGAAAAUGCCCAUGGGUUGAGGGUGAGAGGACAAAACAAAUAGAAUCGAAGCUUGUUUGUGUUUUAAGAAGGCUGGAGAAGGACAAUAUAGCACUUCAGAAAGAAAAUACAAAUACCCUAGGAGUACAUGGUGGUAGUGUAUUAAUUCCUUAGCUACAUGUAGACUUUUAUUAGGUCACUUAUAACUAGGGUGACAUAUAAUUUAUAUUCCAAACUGGGUCACUUUUGAGAGUGAAAGGAUGUGCUAUUUGAAUGGGACACUGAGACAAUAGGUGUAAAACAGAACUGUUUCAGGAAAACCAGGACACUUGAUCACCUCCUACUAAUAACAUACUUUUCUCCAUACUUAGUCCCAGUUCCUUGGACCACAGAUAAUUUUUUUUCCUACAUAGUACUCUGAUCUGCAUUUGAGGAACUUGUCAAGCUUUGAUUCCUUUUUCUUGGUCUUGUUGGAAUGAAGGAAUUCUUUUCAUUUUUUCCUGCUCCCCUGGACUGUUCUUCUGGUUUACAGUCUUGAUGGAGGUAGGAUGAUGAUUCUGAAACUUCAGAUCUUCAAAGAAGGGAAGGAAAACACCUUUGUUUAUAUUGUGGAAGUGGUGUUUUUAUAUGUUGGAUCACCUGUAAUGCUUUCAUUUUGUUUUCCUAUAAAUAAAUAUUUUUUAUUCUUAUAUCAA